UACAAAAUCGUAAUAAAGUAUAAGUUAAUUUAGUUCAACACAUAAAUAAUGAUUAAAAGGCAUUGAUAUGCAGCGUAUAUAACUCGUUGGCGAUCGAAUGUGAAUGUGAAUCAUUAGAAUAAUUAGCAAGUGUGAGCAGCUGCUGCCUGGGGAGUGAAAAUGUGCAAAACAACGAUGGGGACCCCCUCCUAUAAAUAAUAUGUGAUAUACGCUAACAAUCAUUGUCAGUAAGUGGUAAAUUCUUUCAUAUUAUCGGACAUUUAUUUGUGUGCAAACAGUGUCUGCAUGAGAAAGAAGUGCUUCAACAAAGUGCUAAAGAAUAUCGUGGAAAACAAGGACUUUAUUGACCCCAAACAUCAUUAAGAAUUUUAGUAAUGGAAAAUUAUUUAAAAAAACCGAAAAAACAUUGUCAAUAAGUCUAUAUUCAAACUGGCUCUUUAGAUAUGUACCAAUAAAAUAGAAUCUGUGAGCUCCUUGUCGUACUGUAAAGAUACGUAGAAAAAGAAAAAGAGAGAAAGAGAGAGAGGAAAAGAAAACGAGAGACACAUUCAAUAACAAAAUCAUCUCACAAUACCAUGAAAUCGCAAAAACAAAAUGGACAAUCAUUAUGCACUUUGUACAUAGGACCUUAUAAAGCUUAUGUAUUACGUAUAAUUUUGACGAAACUUCAGAAAAUAGCGCAAUC